rnacentral:rRNA from 1 species
UGAGGAAUAUUGGGCAAUGCCCGCAAGGGUGACCCAGCAACGCCGCGUGGAGGAUGAAUGUCGUAAGAUUGUAAACUCCUGUUAGAGGGGAAGAAUAGUACCGGUUGGACCGGUAUAUGACUGUACCCUCAGAGAAAGCCCCGGCUAACUACGUGCCAGCAGCCGCGGUAAUACGUAGGGGGCAAGCGUUGUCCGGAUUUACUGGGUGUAAAGGGCGCGCAGGCGGGAUAAAAAGUCAGUGGUGAAAUCCUACAGCUUAACUGUAGAACUGCCUUUGAUACUUUUAUUCUUGAGUUCGGGAGAGAGAGAGACGGAAUUCCAGGUGUAGUGGUGAAAUACGUAGAUAUCUGGAAGAACACCAGUUGCGAAGGCGGUCUCUUGGUCCGACACUGACGCUGAGGCGCGAAAGCGUGGGGAGCAAACA